rnacentral:lncRNA from 1 species
GCAUAACCGCAUAGUAGGCAUGUCGCCAGAGGGGUAAUCUUUACACAUCCCAUGUACUGAAUAUGAAAGGGAUAAAGAGUUGGCUUACAAUUGCCACUUCACACAAUACAUGAAUAUAGCAUUACAUCAUCCAGAAUACAAUCAAGGCCCGACUACAGAACCAAAUAAAGAAAGACAACCCAUAAUGCAAUAGAUCCCCGAUCGCCCCGACUGGGCUCAACUACUCAUCAAAAGGAAACGAAACAACACAACGAACACGAUCUUCAUCAAGCUCCUCCUUGAGCUCGGUUGCGUCACCUGCAUGGUAUCAUCGGCACCUGCAACUGGUUGAAGUAAUAUGUGAGUCACGGGGACUCAACAAUCUCACACCCUCGUGAUCAAGACUAUUUAAGCUUAUGGGUAGGAAAGGAAGUGAGGUGGAGCUACAGCAAGCACUAGCAUAUAUGGUGGCUAACUUACCCAAAUGAGAGCGAGAAGAGAGGCAAAGCAUGGUCGUGAACUAGAAGUGAUCAAGAAGUGAUCCUGAAACUACUUACAUUCAAACAUAACUCCAAAACCGUGUUCACUUCCCGAACUCCGCCGAGAAGAGACCAUCACGGCUACACACGAUGUUGAUUCAUUUUAAAUUAAGUUAAGUGUCAGGUUUUCUACAACCGGAUAUUAACAAAUUCCCAUCUGCCCAUAACCGCGGGCACGGCUUUGGAAAGUUCAAAACCCUACAGGGGUGUCCCAACUUAGCCCAUCACAAGCUCUCACGGUCAACGAAGGAUAUUCCUUCUCCCAUGAAGAUCCGAUCAGACUCGGAAUCCCGGUUACAAGACAUUUUGACAAUGGUAAAACAAGACCAGCAAGACCGCCCGAAUGUGCCGACAAAUCCCGAUAGGGGUUAUGCAUAUCUCUUUCUCAGGGCACACCGGAUAAGCAAUCCGUACAACUAAAACCAACCCUCAAGUUUCCCCGAGGUGGCGCUGCAAGGGGCUCUAGUUCGGACCAACACUUAGAGAAGCACUGGCCAGGGGGGGUUUAAAAGAAAGAUGACCCUUGGGUUGGCCGACCCAAGGGAAGGGUAAUAGGUUGUUAUGCAAAUGUAAAACCAAGGUUGGGCCUUGCUGGAGGAGUUUUAUUCAAGGCGAACUGUCAAGGGGUUCCCAUAAUAACCCAACCGCGUAAGGAACGCAAAAUCAAGGAACAUAACACCGGUAUGAAGGAAACUAGGGCGGCAAGAGUGGAACAAAACACCAGGCAUAAGGCCAAGCCUUCCACCCUUUACCAACUAUAUAGAUGCAUUAAUUAAAUAAGAGAUAUUGUGAUAUCCCAACAAUAUCCAUGUUCCAACAAGGAACAAACUUCAUCUUCACCUGCCACUAGAAAUGCUAUAAGAGGGGUUGAGCAAAGCGGUAACAUAGCCAAACAACGAUUUGCUAGGAAAGGUGGGUUAGAGGCUUGUCAUGGCAAUAUGGGAGGCAAGAUAUAGCAAGUGGUAGGUAUCGCGGCAUAGUAAUAGAGCGAGCAACUAGCAAGCAAAGAUAGAAGUGAUUUCGAGGGUAUGGUCAUCUUGCCUGAGAUCCCGCAAGGAAGAAGAACGAGUAUGUGAAGAAGUCAAACGGACGA